rnacentral:lncRNA from 1 species
UCCAAUUUAAUUUAUUGUAAAGAUUUUUUAAUGGAAUUGAUACACUGUGGCAGUGAAAACAGGAUUUUCUGCAUAGCCAGCAUUGCGAAAACACAUCCUGUUUGUGAACACAUACAUCUGAUUAAAAUGUCACCCAUUUUUGAAAAAGCCACCCAAAGAUAGGUAAACAUUACUGCAUGGGCAUAUAUUUCACCUGCAGUUUUGAAUUUUGGUCAGUAAUAAUUAGAAAAGUU